rnacentral:lncRNA from 1 species
AUUACUAAAACACAUAAAUAAAUAUUACAUUUAAAAGAUGAAAUAAAUAAAUAAAUACAUCAAGGUAUUUUAGUUUUUUAGAGGAACCAAAAAUUACCACCGAUCAAAAAAUUUUAUUCAUAACAAAAUUUACCGUUGAUCAAAAAAUGUUAUGGUUAACUUUUUGCAUUUUGCAUUUUGUUUUGGAUUAUUUUUAUAUAAUUAUUAGGAAAAUAUAUAAAAACUGAGAGAUAGUGUAGCGACCAUUUCACUGGCGGUGAGUUAACUUUAGACGGCGGUGACGAUCAACAGUUCGAGGCCUCUGGGAAUUUUCCGGGCGGGUUGUGUUCCCACACCUUGACAUGUCAGCUCCACCGCAACCUGAGUACCUGAGGUGGAGUUAUAUCCUUUAGCACCCACCACUCCGACCCCCAUCUCCUUCUGUUUCACCCUUCCAUGUCAUCAUCAUCGCCCUAUUCAUCAAGUUAUCUCUUAAAAUCACAUACACAGUCUCACUCUUCUGAGUUAUACGUGAAAAUCGCCGCCGUUGUGCUCAAUUGCUCCGUAUAAAUCGAUCAUCAGAUGAAUAGGAAAGAAGGAACGAGUUCGACAUCGCCUAUUAAUUGCUCAAUUGUCAAGGUUAUUCCUUUGAAACACCAUUGUCAUGCUCAACAUCUUAUUCGCAUUUGUAUCUUGUGAAUAUUUCUACUUUUCUUAAAAGUACUUCAAUAUGAGUACAUGUCUAUUUUACUGAUCACAUUAUCUCCACCUCCUUCUAAUUUACAUAGAACAAAACUAUCAUCGCUUUUCAAAUGCUUUUGGGCCAAAAUUUCUGAAAGGGGAUAAAAUUAGCUUCAACCCAAAAUAUUAUAUGAUUUGAAAUAAAAUUGACAUAAUCUUUGUUCUUUUUGUGUUAAAUACAAUUAUAUACUUACCUCAAUUUUCAGGGAAAGAAUACUAUUGAUCUAUGAAAAGGACAAGACAAGAUCAAAGUUUCCUUAUUUCAGUUUCAGAAGAAUAUUUAUCUGGUUUUCUUGAAAGGUAAUGAUCUCAAUUCACAUACACUGGUAGAUUACAAAAUGAAAACUAAAUAAAAUCAACACUCAAUGUAAUCAUGUUUUAUAAAUACCUUCUUUAAAACAUUUAUUCCACAUUAAGUCUAAUACAAAAUUAGACAUUCAUACCUUUGAUUUAUGAUGUUAAUCUAACAUAAUGAUGCUAGAUUCUUAUAGAACUUAUUGAGAAACAUACUUCCAUGAUUAAUAAUAGAUAUCCUAACUUGUUUCAUAAGAUCAUCAAAUCAAAUAUUUAUAAACAAACUAUUAACAAAAACCAUCUUGAGGAUCAAAUCUUUAACAUGUUAAAUACAAUUUACCGAAAAUUAACCAAUCAUUCAAUAAAAUAUUUCUACAACCAAUAAAAACACGCAAACGAAUGAAUAAAUUCUUAUUAUAUAUGUUUUAUUCACGAUACAUUUAUUGCAGAGUGUCAUGCACCUUCAGAUAUCAAACAACUUUAUUCAGAAAUACACAAACAAAUCACACCACCAUCUGUAUUACUUAUCUUCCACCUCAUUCAACCAAAUCCCCUUAUCUCAACCACUUACAGACAUCCCUUCAACAAUAAAAAACUCAAAUCCAUUAAAAAAAACAAGCGUGACACUCUAAUUUGAAACAGAUAUUCCCACAUACCCAACUCCUAUAACAAAGAAAGCACCCGAUUGAAGCAACAGAUAAACAAACAUAUGAUCUUUCCCAAACAUCAUAUCAUAAAUAGCCACAUACAAAAGAAACAACCCCAUUAUCAACUCCGAGAAGUGAAGCCUGUUUUUUUUAUCAUACCAAAAUAUUAGCAUAUAAUCAUAUAUAUAUAUAUAUAUAUAUAUAUAUAUAUAUAUAUAUAUAUACACACACACACACACACACACACACAAAGGGUAUAAUCGUAGUUUUACAAUACCUUUCUCCAAAUCGCGAACGUGACUUCUUCAAUGGCUUCACAAUACUUUUAGGCUUUGUUGCAUUUCCUAGUUUUUCAGUCACAACCCAUUCAUUGACUCGAUUAGCUCCCAAAAGUCCAAUGAUUGUUGCUUUGGAUCGAUGAAAUGACAUGACAUUUUCAAACAAGAUCCAGAACACAAGAAGGUGUAAUGACCUGUAAGGGCAAAAUGGUAAAUUGGUGAUCAAACUAAAGGGGUAAAAUGGUCAUUUUGUGAUAAUACCUUAGGGUGCAUGAGGAGUUUAAGAUUGUAACGGUUGCUGGAACGUAUAUGGCUAUGAGUUUUGGGAGAUGGACUUCAGGAACCAUGAUGCUGACUGGGAUGAUGACACAGUAAAAGAAAAAGGUGACCCAAUGUGCAAUUAUCUUCCUCACAAAAAAGAACGCAUAGAUGACAUGGAAUUUCUUCCAGAUGGAUACCCUCUGCAUAAAGUUUGAAUCUUUAUCUCAAAAUCUCAAGGGUAUUAAGGUAAUUAAAAAGGUUUCUUGAAAUUUACCUCGCAGAAGAUUAUUUCUUUUGUCAUUUUUCUAAAAAGAUUAGCUGGACCACAUGACCACCUAUGCUGUUGAAAUCUAUACGCUUUGAAAGUACUCGGGAGUUCGUUUUUCACCUAUAUGUAAUCAUCAUAACAAUUCAUGAAAAGGGUAAUAUUGGAAAUACUGAAAAUAUUGGAAAUGAUACGAUUUACUCACCUCUAAGUCACCCACAAAGACAAAUUUCCAACCUUUUAGACUUGCUCUAACAGCAAGAUCCAUGUCUUCUACUGUGGUUCGAUCUUUCCAGCCACCAGCAUCUGCAAUAGCUCUUAUACGCCACACACCCGCAGUUCCUAAUUUUAUAUAACAAAAAAAAUUAUAAAAACUAAAAAAUUAUUUUCCACCUGUCAAAUAAAAUAAAAUAAAUAAAUAAUAACUUACUUACCAUUGAAUCCAAAGAAUUGACAAGUUGAUGACCCUACUUCUUGUUCAACAGCAAAAUGGUAGGCGAGUGACAUCUCUUGGAGUCGAGUCAUUAAACAUUCAUCAGCAUUUACUACAAACAACUUAUUUAUUUUUAGUAAUAAUGCUAUAUUUUAGUCGCAAAAUGGUAAAUAUUCAAGAAAUGAGUGACCCUUUUACCGAAUUUCCAUCGAGCCUGAACCAAAGCCAAUUCUGGAUUCUCAAGAAGGUAAGGUACAGAUCUCCAUAAAAAGUCUUCAUCUGGUUGAAAAUCUGCAUCAAAUAUGACAACAAAUUCGCAAUCGAAUACAUAAUCUUUUUUUAAUCCUUCACGAAGAGCACCAGCUUUGUAUCCAUUUCUGUUGUUUCUUGUCUCAUAUUUCACAUUUACCCCCCUCUGAAUCCACUUUUUACACUCCAACUCCACCAGUGCCUGUAUACAACUAAUAAGUUUCUUUCUACUUUAUAUAUUAUAGCUAACUCAUCACUAUUUUGAAACUAGAUUAAAUUACAAAAACAGUCCCUGUACUUUCUCAUUUUUACCAUUCUUAGUCCAAAAUCGAAACCCUUUUCAUUUUUUUGUCCUUAUCUAAACUUUCAUAUCGAUUUCGGUCCGUGUAAAUUGAAAAAACGGUUCAAGUCUUAAACAAGGUGAAAAUCUGAAAGCACGAGGGUAUAUUUGUAAUUUAGUAUUGAACUAUAAGUGUAGUUGUAGGGGUACCCUUAGGACUUCAUUGGUUGAGUCAUCAAGAACCUGAACAAUAAGACGAUCAGCUGGCCAUCUAAGUGAGCAUACAGCUCCAAUUGACAGCUUGUAGACCUGUAAAGAAAAUAAAAAUGGCAACAUGUAAAAUUAAUUUAAUUUACACAUAAAUAUUGUGUACAAAAAACAUGUGUAGAAUACCUCUUUUUCAUUGAACAUAGGUAUUUGAACCAACACCAUGGGGUAGCUUCUAUUUUGUUCAAGAUCUUCUUUGAGUGCUUCUAGUUUAUACUGAGUGUACUUUUUCUUUCCCAAAAACUUCACCAAAAGAACAACAAUAGUCAUGUACACACGUUCAACGAACAUCAUCAAAGACAUGACAGCACAAACACAGAUGGCAGCGGUCAAUGGCGGCAUCACCAUUGACACGCGUAUAUGCCGCCAGACAUCGGUGAAACUGCCUGUGAAAUCAUAGGCUGAUAAGACAUCGGGCUCUGUGCGAAAAAUGUUUCUCAUGGUGAAACGGAAGGAAGAAAGGAGUUAGGACUUAGGAGAUGGGUGGGGAUAAGGGUAGUGAGGAAGAUUGAAGGGUGUGCUUUAAAUAGAAAAUGGUAGAGGUUUUGUUGAAGAUGAUGAUGACAUGGAGGGUGACAUGGCGGUGGGCUUAGGUGGAAGAUUUUGGUGCAUUGAGUGAAUCGUUUAAUGAGGCAAGCUACGUGCAAGCAAAUGUGGUAUGAAGGAUCAAUAUUGUUAGCUGGAUUUCUCGCCUUUCUCGCCGACAAUGUUGUUGACAAUAUUCAACUCACGUAUUUCUAAUUAAGGUAAUGAAUUUAAGUUUUGUGAUUUACCAUAUACUACUACUAAAAAUGCUUGUUAAGCCCAUAAGCCAAAGUAGAUGGAAGUUUUAUAAGGCCUAAUUGUUAUUCCACCUCGUGCAUCUAUUAAUGUUUUGUCCCCUUAUUGUAGUGUAGGCCUUAGUUUCCUUUUAUAUGUUAGUGUUUUUCGUACAAUAUUUACCUUCUUACUGUUGUCCACUUUUAUAGAGCAUUCACAAUUGUGAGUUCAAUGAGAUAGUUGUGAGAUGGCAAGCCUAGUUGUCUUUUAAUGGAUUAAACUCUACAAUUGUGAGAUGCUACCUUGACAUUCAAUGGAUUUGGAGGUUUUUUUUGUUGAAAGGCUAACACAGACCCACUAAAUUCUACUCCUCGACUACUCUUUUUAUUCAUGACGAGACUCGAACCCUCAACUCUUUAGGGAAUACAUACAUUUUUAAAAUCCUUGGUACCGCUAGGCCAAAAGAGUUUAAUGACCAUUGAACUCUUCAAUGGAAAAAAUGAAAGUUUUCUCUUUCUUAAAUAAAUACUAUAAAUUAGCUUGUGUAAUGUUUUUAUUGAGCUUUGUAAAGUUGAAUGCAUUAUAGGAAAUCUUUCACGGAGUUAUAUGAAAUUUAGAAAUAUGAUGUGACAAUCUAUUGAACCCUAUGGAGUUCAAUGCAUUGUGGAUAUCCUUACAUCUUGUAGGAGCUAUUUGUUUUCUUACUUUUGUCCCCUAUAUAGUUUCAUUGCUUGUAUUUGUUUUUCUAAAAUCUAUACAUUCUUACUUUUAUCUAGGCGUGUCGAAAAAACCCGGAACCCGUUCUACCCACCCGACCCGUUCCGAAUUCGGGUAGAAUGGGUCGGGUAGAAUGGGUAAUGGGUAUGAACAUUCGGGUAAUAGGUUAACCCGAUAAUAAUAUAGGUCGGGUUUUAGGUAUGAAUAUUUAUUUUCGGGUAUACCCGAAUACCCGAAUUCGUUUUUUAAAUAAUAUCAAAUAUACAAUGCAGUCACGCACGCACACUUCAAAUAAAACAAAACUCUUCGUUUCCUUCUUAUGAACGACGGCUCGACAGCUGACACAAACUUGCAAAGGGAAUACGACACUGAAGCUGAAGUCCUGAACCGUCAUCACAAUUCUCAGUUUCUCUCUGUCGCACGUAAUGGAAUUAAAAAAAAGUACAUAACAUAUUAUAAUGAUUUGUAUUGUUAUUAUAGAUGUACUUGUUAAUUGUAUGGAGUAUUUUCCAACCCAAUUUUUUAUUAAACCAACCGACAUGUAAAGAAAAUAUCAAUAAGUGUCAUUUAAGAAAUUUUCGGGUAUACCCGAUAAUUACCCGACCCGACCUCAAACCCAAAUACCCGAAACCCGAAAACCCGAAUUACAAUAUAGGUCGAGUAUCGGGUAUUAUUUUCUUAACGAAAUACCCGUUCUACCCGACCCGUUCUACACGAAACCCGAAAAUUUUACCCGUUCGACACCCCUACUUUUAUCUCCUUUUUUACUUUCAACUUUAUAGUUUAUAUAUGCUUUCUUGUACUUGUGGUCUUUUCACUUUCAGUCUUUUANNNNNNNNNNNNNNNNNNNNNNNNNNUUCGCUUUCAUCUUUAAUGUUUCUAUAUGCUUUCCGUACAUUAUUUAUCUUUUUACGUUUGUCCCUUUUUUUACUUUCAACUUUAUUGUUUGUUUCUGUUUUAGUACAAUAUUUACCUUCUUACUUUUUUCCCCUUUUUACUUUCAACUUUAUUGCUCGUAUUUAUUUUCUUCUUACCUUUGUCCUAUUUUUGUUUUCAUUGUUAUUGUUUAUAUUUAUUUUUCAUACAAUAUUUACCCUCUUAACUUCAUCAUUUUUACUUUUAACUUUUCUUACAUUUGUCUUAUUUUUUUCUUUCAACAUUAUUGCCUAUUUUAUUUUUCAUAUAGUAUUUACCUACUUACUUUUCUUCAUUUUUACUUUCAACUUUAUUGCCCGUAUAUGCUUUCUUCUUACCUAUGUCUUAUUUUUUCUUUCAACGUUAUUGCUUANNNNNNNNNNNNNNNNNNNNNNNNNNNNNNNNNNNNNNNNNNNNNCUUUAUUACUUAUGUCAAUUUUUACUCUAAACUUUAUUGCUCGUAUAUGCUUUCUUAAUACCUUUAACGUUUUUUUGUUUUCAACAUUAUUGCUUUUAUUUAUUUUUCAUAUACCAAUUCCUUCUUAAUUUUGCCCUAUUUUUACUUUCAAAUGUAUUUCUUGUACCUUCUUACUUCUGUCUAUUUUUUACUUUUUGGUUUUAUUGUUUGUAACGACUUUUUUUCCUUACUUUUGUCCUCCAGUUACUUUCCGAUUUAUUAACUGUAUUUGUUUUUUGUACAAUAUUUAACUUUCUUACUUUUGUGUGUGUGUGUUUUUUUUACUUUCAACCUUAUUGUGUGUAUCUGUUUUCUUGUUUUUGUCUCAUUUUUUUUCCUUCUCUUCUUAUGUUUGUUAACUUUUCACUUUAAUCUUUAUUGCUUGUAUUGUUUUUCGUAUAUUAUUUACCUUCUUAUUUUGUUUUUUUUACUUUCAACUCUCUUGUUUAUAUUUGGUUUAGUAUAAUUUUUACAUUCUUAUUUUUGUCUCCUUUUGACUUUCAUCUUUGUUGCUUGUAUCUAUUUUUUUUUCUUACCUUUGUCUUGUUUUUGUUUUCAACGUUAUUUUUUAUAUUUAUUUUCAUAAAAUAUUUAAUUUUUUUUUACCUUUGUCUCCUUUUUACUUUCUAACUUUAUUGUUUGUGCUCGUUUUCUUCUUACUUUUUAUCCGUUUUUUACUUUCAACUUUCUUGCUUGUAUUUGUUUGUCAUACAUUAUUUACCUUCUUACUUUUAUCAUUUUUUACUAACAACUUUAUUGUUUGUAUCCACGUUUUCUUCUUAUCUUUGACCCAUUUUUGUUUUCAACGUUAUCGUUGAUAUUUAUUUUUUAUAAAAUAUUUACUUUCUUACUCUUGUCUCUUUUUUACUUUCAUGUUUACUUCUUGUACAUGUUUCUUCUUCCUUUUGUCUUUUUUCUACUUUCAGCUUUAUUGGUUGUUGCUGUUUUUCCUCUUAUUUUGUCCGGUAUUUACUUUCAGCUUUAAUGUUUAUAUUUUACUUUUCGUAUAAUAUUUACUUUCUUAUUUUUUUCUCAUUUUAUCUUAUAACAUUAGGGCCGUGAAAAAGUCUCAAUAUUUUAGGUCAGUUUACGAUUUAGUCCCAAAUUAAAUUUUGUUUACAAAAAAGGACAGAUUACCGGCUAAAACUUUGAAUUAACCCUUCGUGGCCGGUUUCAUAGAUUUAGCCGGUAUCUCGUUUUUUUUCGUUAGUUAAUUCAAAUUUUGGGGCUUUUUCAUUAAUUAAUCAAAAUUUUAGGGCUUUUUAAUUAUUUAUUACCAAUAAACCAAAAUAUUUGGACUUUUCUGAAGAAUAUCUUUAAGCUAAUAUAUAUUAUAUGAUCUAAUUUAAUAUGUACUAUUCCAUAUCUUUUUUCUUAUGCUCUUCUAGGCUCACCGUGUGUUUUUAUCGGUGUCGUCAAACCCAACAACAAAAAUCUCACUCACAAGCCUCGUUAACUCAAUCAAUUUUCCAAAAUUAUCCAUUCACAACUUUAUGAUCAUCUUUCAAUCUCCAAAUAAAGAACGGAGAAAAUCCUUGUUGAUUACGUGGAUGUCCCUAUUACCUAACCAUGACUUAAACUGUGGUUCCAACACUUGGAUGUUCCUAUUACCUAAUCAUGACUUAAACCCAUACACUAAUGGCGUUGUACAUAGUGUUGUUAACAAUAGAAGACGAAUCUCACAUGUUCAACCACUGAUACAUUGGCUCAAGUCUUACUAGACCCUUGUUUCCUUACAACACUGUAGAAGCCCCAACAAAAGAUGAAUCCCACAUGGUUCAUCAUUUAUUGGUUUUUUUAUCAAAAAGUAAAGCAUUUUGGAAGCCCAAAUAGACUAAAACGUAAUAACGACAAUUAUUGUAAUAUCACACCAAUUGUCAUUAUGACUUAAACGUAACAUCACAACAAUUGUCAUUAUUACAUUUUAGUCUAUUUAGGGCUUCCAGAAUGCAUUAGUUUUUGGCAAGACAAAAACCAAUAAAUGAUGAAAUUUUUGAUAAAGAUCGGAACACAAUCUUAUUGAUGGAUCCAAGAGCUCCUUAUCGUCCCAAGCCUUUUUCUCCUCAAUCUUCUUCUAAAAAAUGCACUAUAAUAUGCAAUAUCAGCCCCUCUUUCUCUCCUACAAGCAUAUAGCUCAAUUAGGGUUUCUCUCAGAGUGUUAAGAUGAUAAGGGGGCGGAAAUGAAGGCUUAAAGUCCUUUAAAUAGGACACAAACCCUGAAAAUUAGGGUUUUCACACUCAGCUCCUACUCUUCGAGUUGGGGUCCUCCAACUCGUCGAGUAGACUCUAGAAAUUACGCGACCAUUAACACUAUCUACUUGACAAGUUGAGGCCUCCAACUCGUCAAGUUGAUAAGACAACAAGAAUAUAAAUUAAUUAAAUAUUAUACCGGAGAGUCGGGAUGUUACACCUAUUGUAAGGAAACAAGGGUCAAGUAAGACUUGAGCCAAGGUAUCAGUGGCUAAACCAUGUGGGAUUCAUAUUUUGUUGUUAACAAAACUAUGGGCAAUGCCAUUAGUGUGUGGGUUCGAAAUAAGGUUCGAGUCAUGGUUAGGUAAUAGGAACAUCCGAGUGUUGGAACCGUAGCUCGUAGGUAUACCAAAUUAAUAUUUUAAUAGUUUAUGAUGGAUAGCUUGUUGACAUUUUUUUACAAUUAGAGUUAACAUUCUCCAUGGUUUUCAAUACAUAAUAUCGAGUUGAUUUUUUUAACCUAUGUUGAGUUUCUUAAGCUUAAUGGUUCAUUCUUCAUGGUUUUCCAGCCCUAUUGUAAGGAAACAAGGGUAAUGUAAGACUUGAGCCAAGGUAUCAGUGGUUAAACUAUGUGGGAUUCAUAUUUUGUUGUGAACAACACUAUGGACAAUGCGAAUAGUGUAUGGGUUCGAAAUAGGAUUCAAGUCAUGGUUAGGUAAUAGGAACAUCCAAGUGUUGCAACCACGGUUUAAGUCAUGGUUAGGUAAUAGGGACAUCCACGUAAUCAACAAGGAUUUCUCCGUUCUUUAUUUGGAGAUUGAAAGAUGAUCAUAGAGUUGUGAAUGGAUAAUUUUGGAAAAUCGAUGGAGUUAACGAGGCUUGUGAGUGAGAUUUUUGUUGUUGGGUUUGACGACACCGAUAAAAACACACGGUGAGCCUAGAAGAGCAUAAGAAAGAAGACAUGGAAUAGUACAUAUUAAAUUAGAUCAUAUAAUAUAUAUUAGUUUAAAGGUAAUCUUUAGAAAAGUCUGAAUAUUUUGGUUUAUUGGUAAUAAAUAAUGAAAAAAACCUAAAAUUUUGAUUAAUUAAUUAAAAAGCCCCAAAAUUUGGAUUAAUUAACAAAAAAAGACGAGAUACCAGCUAAAUCUGUGAAACCGGCCACGAAGGGUUAUUUCGAAGUUUUAGCCGGUAAUCUGUCCUUUCUUGUAAACAAAAUUUAAUUUGGGACUAAAUCGUAAACUGGCCUAAAAUAUUGAGAUUUUUUUGCAGAUUUCCCUCUAACAUUAUUGCUCUUAUUACUUUCUUCUUACUUUUGUCCUAUAUUUGCUUUCAACGUCAUUUCUUAUUUCUUNNNNNNNNNNNNNNNNNNNNNNNNNNNNNNNNNNNNNNNNNNNNNNNNNNNNNNNNNNNNNNNNNNNNNNNNNNNNNNNNNNNNNNNNNNNNNNNNNNNNNNNNNNNNNNNNNNNNNNNNNNNNNNNNNNNNNNNNNNNNNNNNNNNNNNNNNNNNNNNNNNNNNNNNNNNNNNNNNNNNNNNNNNNNNNNNNNNNNNNNNNNNNNNNNNNNNNNNNNNNNNNNNNNNNNNNNNNNNNNNNNNNNNNNNNNNNNNNNNNNNNNNNNNNNNNNNNNNNNNNNNNNNNNNNNNNNNNNNNNNNNNNNNNNNNNNNNNNNNNNNNNNNNNNNNNNNNAUAUACUAGCCGUCUACCCGCGCAAAGCGGCGGGCGGCGAAUAAUUUGAUCUCUUUAGAGUUAAAACCAUUUUGCGUUCACUUCGAGAAAUGAAUAUUAAAUGACAUCUAUUUUUCAAGAGCAUUACCAUACCAUAUUAAGGGGGUGUUUGGCUAAGCUUUUUUAAAACAACUUAUUAGGUUCCACAUCACUAUAAGUUAAAAAAGUGUUUGGAUUAAAAUAACUUAUUCCGGUGGGGAACCUCUAAUACGUCAUUUUUUCAUAAGUUACCCUACACUUACUUAUUAACUUAUAAGCUAAUAAACUAAUAAGCAAUAAGUUUUUUUGCCAAACACCCCCUAAAUGGUUAUUACUUCCAUUUAUACAUACCCAAACCACUUGUAUUGUUUAUCGUCAUCUUUGUUUUUUUCGUUUUCCUUAAUUCCUUUAUUAAUUUAAUGUCCUACUAAGUAAAAUGCUAAAAUAUAUAAAUAAUAAUUUAUAAAAAUAAACCUUUAGAAUAUCAGGUGUUGUGAUUCAAAAGUCGAUAAAUAGGCCUUUGAGAAGGCUAAAAUACUCAGGUGUCAACUUGUUCAUUGUGAUUUUAAACCAAGUUUGGUCACAAAUUAAAACAUUUUCAACGAUGGUAUGUAAUUCAAGGAUUCAUAUUGAUUUAGGUUCUCGAAACCUUAAAAUAUUGAACAAAAUCUAUAUAGAACCUUAUAAUAAGGACAAUAAUCACCGUAAUCAGGAAGUCCAUGUGAUGAAACUUGAUAUUAUAAGGACCAAUGAUGAAAAAGGUUUCAUUUUUAGACUAAACAAGAUGAAAAAUAUACAAACUACCUUAAUCAUGUCAAAUCUUGUGUUUAACCGUUCUUUAUUGCAAAAGUAAGAUGUCAAAAUAUACAAACUAAUGAUAAUACAAUGCUCUAACUGACCCUCUUGGUUGAGUUCUUUGAACCUAAACCAACACAUUAAAGAAACAUAGUGAAAACCUUUUAGGAACAAACCUGAUAUAAUAAAGUCUUCACCCAAUAUAUUUAUAAGAUAAAAAUACAAAAAGUUAAAAAUGAUGAAAUCAAUUACAAGUAAGGAUUAAAAUAAAAACUUGUUAAGAAAGAGCCAUCUGCAGAAGGAAUAUUUGAAUCAACAUGUAUUUUCUGAUGGUUUCAAAUUUUGAAAUAUCUGAAAUUCAGGGAAGGAGAUAGAAUUUGUUGAGAAAUAUAAGGAUUCAAAACACAAGUUAAAAUUUAAUAUUAUUUUAUGGAUGACUAGUUGUAUUAUUAGCUUAAUGAUUUGAACGUCUUAAAAAAAUAAUAUUAUUAUAUUCAAUCUAUUUUUAGAAAUAGUGGGAUUUCUUUUAUUGUUUGUAUCUGUUUUCUUUUUACUUUUGUCCCUUUUUACUUUCAACUUAUUACUCGUAUCUAAUAUUUGUAUAUUAUUUUUCUUCAUACUUUUUCCUCCCCACACAUGUUACCUUCUUAUUAAUUGGUUUCCCGUUUCCGUAUAUUUGAUUUUUUUUUGAAUGGGAAAUUCAAUAAUAUACUAAACUACUCCUAAAUUAUUCCACCUAUGUCAACAGUGGGACUUGAACCCUCGACCUCAAGAACGAAGGACAAUACCGAAUAUCGCUAGGCUAGAAGCCCUUUGGUCUUUCCAUAUGUUUGAUACUUGAUGAUUUUCUUUGUGUGUUCAUCACAUGUGUUAAUUAUUGUAUUUCUAAAUACUUUAGUUAGAUGUUAACACAACUAUAAACUCUAUUUCAAUGAAGUAAAUAUUUUAGAGGGUAGUACAAAUAUAAAUAGAAAAUUUUAAAACGACUUGCUGUAUUUUUGUCGUAAAUGCGAAAUUCAUUGCGUUAUCUACACGCUUACGUAGUCGCUUAAAAUUAGACAUAUCUAUUUUUAGUUGAUGUUUACGUGGAGCACAUGAUUAGUGUGCAUUCAAGUUUGAUAACGCCAUCAAAAGUCUAAUUCUUCAUUUUCUUUGCCAGCUGUCUCACCGACUAGGUUGCUCAAGAACAUCAUAAUCACGUAAGUAGGUGAUUCUAUCUUCCUCGUACUAUAUGUUGUUUGAUAUUGAAGUUAAUCUAGAGAAAUAAGUAAUUAUUGGUUAACUUAUGAUUAAAAAAAAUGCUCAAUAUUGAUAAUGAACUAGCUUUUAAGAAUAUGUAGACAAGUUAAGGCCAUAAUGUCUUACUAGAAAGAUUUUAUAACAAAAUUAUAUUUGCCAUGCAUGUUAUCUAGUUUUGUGUAAUUGUUAGCUUAUGACAUUAAAUUCAAUUAUUGCCAUUUGUGUUCUUUGAUUAGUUUCUAAAGAUGCACAUAAUGGAGGUUUACAUAUUUUUAUAAUAAAUUUUGUUUUCGGUCUAGAUUUUAUUCCUUUGUUUUCCACGUAGGCUAGAUGAGCUAUAAGGACUCGCACAUUCACUCAUUUCUAUCUAUAGAAGUCGCAUUUAUUCAUGUUUCGCUUCUACUCGCUAUCUAAUCUUCCAUCCGUAUAAUUAUAAGUAUUAAAUGUUUGUUUAUAAUGUUUCAUAUUUUUCUCAAUUUAUGCAAAAAAAAAAAGGUUUUUACAAAUGAAAUAUGCAAUAACAUUUCAUAAUAUGGAAGUGGUCAAAUGGUUUAUUAAUGCAACAAUUUAUUUUUUCAAAUGUUUCACAUUUUUACCAAUUUAUGCAAUAAUGUUUCACAUUUUUAUCAGUUUAGACAACUAACACUAAUAUGCAACCAUGUUUUAAAUGGUUCAACGAGAUGAGGCAUCAACCACCACUUACUAGAAUGAGUGAUUUCAAGAAAUCAUCUAUCCCUUGCCUUCGGAACUUUCUUUUUGGCAUCUUUCUUCGUUGCUUGACAGGAAGAACUGUUGGUUUGGAUAAAGUGAAACUGGAGGUGUAUGCUAUGGUCGCAGGUUUAUAUUACAAUUUACAGGUGGAUUAUGCAACCCAGUUAUGGCAAGAGUUUGGAAAAAACAUUGCUAACACAAGUGUGGUUAAUGGAGUUUCAUGUGCUCGUUACUGGAGCCUGAUAUUGAAGUAUGUUUACGAAAAGGAAGGGAUCUUGGUACCUGUUGAUGAUCCUAAAACAGAGUUCGGAAUAUAUCAACAUCCUAAGGUUGUGGAGGAUGAUUCGGAAAAUUUUCCCAAUGUUGCGAGGAUCCAUGUAUGCUUCGCAAAGUAGAUCUUGUUGAUCCAGUUCUAAUUGCAUAUCUUCAAACCAUCAAUCUUUCAAUUGCGAAUGGAGGUUUAGAAACAACAUUGAUAACACAAGUGUGGUAAAUGGAGUUUCAUCUGCUCGUUACUGGAGCCUGAUAUUGAAGUAUGUUUACGAAAAGGAAGGGAUCUUGGUACCUGUUGAUGAUCCUAAAGCAGAGUUCGGAAUAUAUCAACAUCCUAAGGUUGUGGAGGAUGAUUUAGAAAUUUUUCCCAAUGUUGCGAGGAUCCCUGAUGCAAUGCUUUGCAAAGUAGAUCCUGUUGAUCCGGUUCUAAUUGCAUAUCUUCAAACCAUCAAUCCUUCAAUUAAGACUGGAGUGUUAUUGGCGAAGGGUGUUGCUCGUCCUUCCAAAUAGAAAAAAGAAUUCAAAGAAAGGAACUCAAGCCAGUCCAUCGAAGCUUGCUCUUGUGUCUACUCCAACGAAAGUUACUAAGGCUAGUAUUUCGAAGCCUGUUUCGGUUCCUAUUCAACAGGAAGUCACUAAGCCUUCUUACGAAGAAACUUCUCAACCAGCGAAGGAGGUCAUGCCUUUGAAAUCUGUGGUUCUUAAAAGGUUGAAGAAAAAGGCUCACAGGCCUCGUCAUUCACCAUAAAGGCCUGUUAUCCAAGAAGUUUAUGAGAAAUCACCAUCUUCUACCAAGAGUAUUUCUCUUCUUCCAAGAGGAUUAUAUGUUGGAUUAGUGUCUAAGUCCAUAACUAUUUUGGUAUGUACUUGACCCGAUGGUGCAUGGUCCUUUUGGGUUGCCUUCACCAAAGCAACUUGAUAGGAUGAAUUAUGGAGAGAAAGGAUUAAAUAUGAUUUAUUAAUAUAUUAUGGGAAUAAUAUAUUAAAGGAGAAAUCAUAUUGUUUAAUUAAUAUUAGUCAAGAAUUAAUAAGAAUUAAGUUUGUGACUAAAAGAGAUUAAUUAAACUUAAGGUACUGGAAUUGUAAUUAUAAGAUAAUUGCAAUUGGGCUAUGGAUUGCCUUAUAUUAUAAGGUUGGACGAAUUCUACGGGGAAACCCAUUGGAAAUCGUCCAAGGCCUUUAAGGAAGGAGCCCAUGGGUUGCUUAGGGCUUAAGCAUCCAAAUUAGGGUUUCCUUGUUAGAUAACCCUAAUAGCCUCACUAUAUAUAGAGCCCUUAUGCCCCAAAAACGUGGACAAGCUUCCUUCUAGGGUUUCCGCACGUUUUGGGCAGCCUCCUUCUCUUCUCUUCUUCAUCCUCUUGCUUAUGGUGUUUGUGAACCAUUAGAGGAGUGACAUUUGUGACUAUAAGCUUUCUAAAGUCAUUACAAGGAGGAUUUGAGAUUGUUAUUGCUACAUAACAAUCAAGGUAUGAUCUAAACUCUAAUUAUAUGUUAUAUUGAUUAUAAUAUGCUAGAUCUAGGGUUUAUAGUCUUGGAUAAAUUGCAUGUACAAUAGAGAAACCUAGAUCCAAGCAUUAGGGUUUGUAUGAGCACAUAGGAUGUUCCAAAGUAUAAAACCCAUCAUUAUAAAGCCUCAAAUCACUUGCAAGGGUGUUACCAUACGCGAGAUUCCGGCUCUAGUUUCUCCUGCCUCUAAGAAACAAAGAACUCAUGAAAUGGUGAAGAAGCUUAAGAAGAAGUAGAAGAAAAUCACAACUCCAUUGGAUGAGGUACUUAUUGAAGAUGAUGUUGAUGAUAGUGGUAAGUCUCAAUCUCCACUUCGACAUGCUGAUAUGGGUUUUUCGUCACCACAGAUGGACUUUCCAGUCAAGUCGACUUUCGAGGCGUCUGGUAGUCUUGAUGGCAAUGUAGAAACAUUUAUUAUGGACACAACCAUCAAUCUUGAUGAUUAUUCACAAUUAUCCAUCCCUGAGCAGACUUUGGUCAUACCACCCGAAGUUUUGCAAGCCAAGUCCAAUAUGGAGGAGGUGCGAACUUCAGGCAUCACUGCGGACAUAUCUGAUAUGGAUGCAAAUGUCACUAAGGGUGAUGGGGUGUCGAGUUCUCAAGCCCAAGGUACUUCUGAUUCAAUCAUAGUAUCAUUUACCUUCGAAACCACUUAUAUUGACACGAGUACUACAUUACCACUAUUUCAUUCAUCUAUUUCUACUUCUUUACCUCAAUCCACCAUUUCACCUACCUUUCAAAACAUUAUCAAUCAACCAAUCACAUCCUUAUUUCCUUCGCAAACCACUGAAGGUCCAACAUCUAUUCCUGAUAAUACAAUAGAGGAUGAUGAUGUGUGUAUUUCUUUCGCUGAUCUUCAGUUUGAUCCAGAAGAUGAGGAUAUACCAGAUCAUAUGUUAAUGUCUGGUAAGCAAUUCAAUAUCCUCAAUUGAAAACUCAAUUCGUUACUCCAGUUUCAGGCUGCUGUUGGAAGUCAACACAAUGUCACUGGGAUCAAGGUUGAUGUGAUGCUCAAGGCUCAAGAGCUUCGACUGAAAGCAGUAAUGGGCCAGAUGGAAAAGAAUAAUGAACUUCGAGUGAAGUUUCAAUCUGACUCAUUUAAUCAUGAGGUAAAGGUUUUAAGAGCCGUUGCAAACGAACGUCAUCUUUUGUUUGUUUAAGUUGUCAAGAGGGUUCAAGAGGAUGUAAACUUGAAGAUCGAAGAACUUCAACAAGAAAUAACGUAGGAGGUUGCGAAGGUUGAUCAAAACUAUUCGAACCUUCAUACUAAGGUUGAUAUAGUUGCUGGUGCAGUCACGAAGCUCGUUGAGUUUCACACUUCUCUUAACUCUAAGGAGUUUUUACAUCGCCAAGGUGUCUUGGUAGAAGUGAAUGAUUUCAAAGCUUGCUAUUCCUCCUACUUCAACAGUUUCUCAAGAGUCCAUCUCACAACUGUUCUCUUCGUUGGAGUCUCGACUAAAAGUUGAUCUUGGUCCUUUAAUGAAUUUGGUGAAUUUGAUGCCCACUGCUGCCCCACCUGUUUCCACAGGGGUGCAAGGGGGAGAGAAGGGUGUGGGUGCAUCAUAGAACUCUGAACAAGGCGAAGUUAUUGGAAAAGUGUCAAGCACACAAAUUCCCAAUACAUUUCCACUAUCUACAAUAACAACUUCUACAACCAUGACUUUGAAACCUUUAACUAAAGGUAUUAUCAUUGGAUCAUCUACUGGAGGGUCAAGUUCGAAACCUCCUCCAUCAGCAGAAUAAUUGAAGCGAAGAGGAAAGGGUAUUCUGAUAGAACCAACUGUUGAAGAGAAAAAGUUGGCAUUAGAGCAGGAAAUGGAAAAAAAAAUUCAGAGCAUACUUCGAAAAAGACAGAGUGAUCCUUCUGGUAUUAAUAAGGGUGAUCCAUCCAAACACUACAACUACGAAUAGACCUGGAAAAAUCUAGCACGGCACGACAACCCGACACGAACCCGAAACGAAGUUAGCGGGUAGGGUCAGAGAUUUAACCUGUUUAUAUACACGGGUUGACACGACACGUCACGAUAAUUAAACGGGUAGGGUUAGUGUCAAGACUUUCAACUCGAAGAUGACUCGAUAAUGACCCGUUUAUAUAUGUGUAUAUAUAUAUAAAUCAUAUUUUUAUAAAUAUUUUCAAUAUUAUACAUUUGUAGUUGCCCAAAUUCAAGAAUUAAAAGUAAAACUCAAACUUUCAAAGUGACUUAAUUUUACUCCUUCUCACUACCUAUCUCAUUUGCUUCCUAACUCUUAAUUCUUUCCAUUUUGCUUUCUAAACUUACUACUAUCUUCGUCCCAUAUUUAUUGUCUAAUUUUGAUUGUUGAAGUCUUUAUUCUUCAAAUUUGACCUUAAAUAAUUUUGUUUUUGAUAUAUAUAACAUUUAAUGCGAAAUAUAUGAAUGGAUUAUGUUUUAAAUGUCUUUUCAUUGUUAUAAAAUUUAUCAAGUAAUUUAUAACACAAAUAAAACUAUUUAAGGUCAAAGUAAAAACUUCAAAAGUCAAAAAUGGACAAUAAAUAUGAGACGGAGGGAGUAUAAUUUUUUUUUUCGGUUCCACCUCCCAAGUCCAACAUUUCACUUUUUCAUUUAUUUUUUCCUCAAUGACUCUUACUUUUCAACCUAUAAAAUUUUUCAACCCGACAUGACACAACCCGAAACUCGACACGAAAUCGACACGAAAAUAAACGGGUUAACACGACACGACACGAUAAUUAAACGGGUCGGGUUAGGGUCAAGCACUCUCAACCCUUUUAAUGUCUUGACACGGCACGAACCCGACACGACACGACACGUUUGCUAGGUUGAUAGUUAGUUUUGUUUACUUCUUUUUAUAGUUUAUUUUAGCAUAUUUCAUUCAUAAUUUAGAUAAUUUCCAUGCAUAUUUUCCCUUUUUUGUUAUUUUAUGACUAUUUCGGAUACUUUCGAAUCUUGUGAGCAUAAUUGCAGGUUUUCGGGUCUAGCGGAGCGGGAGUGUUCGGGACGUAUGGGAAGCGAUGAGAUUUGGUAGAAAAAAAUGAUGUUAGGCUUGGUGAUUGUGGAGAUGAUGCAUGGAGCGAGCUUGAUGGUUAUUUGAAGGCUUGGAGAGAAAUAAACUUUAAAUUUGCAAAACGCGGGAGUUUAUUCGAGCGUGCGUAGAUUAUUAACCGGGCGAGUUUGGAGGAUUUGGAGAGGCCAAAUUGGGCUUAAAAUGAAUAAAAACUUGAAGAAAAUGGGCUAGGAGGUGAUUGGAUUCGAUCUGGGCUAGUGGGACAUGCUUUGGAGGCCCAAAAUCUCAAAGAAGCCCAUGUCAGGCACCACCCGCGCAACCCACCCGCGCAGCAGCACGCGGGUCGCGCAAGGCUCUGCAGGGGUAAUUUCGGAAAUCCAUUUGGAAGGCUAUUUGAGGAAGGUUGGUGCCCAUCUUUUGGGGACUCUUGGACAUCCGAUUUUUGAAGAUUUUCUCUGGAGUUUUGAAGACUUUUGAAGGCCAAGAACACUUGAAGAACAUCAUAUUUUUACCUCUUGAUUCUUGCUUAAUGUUUGGUACAAUUUUCUCUAACUUUGUUUCUUUGGGUUUAGCCAUGCUUGGCUAAACUAAUCUUGGUUGACUUUUGGUUAAUCCUUUGAACUUUUGUUGAAUGUUGAAGAAUCCAUGAACAUGUUCUUAAAUCUUUAUGGGAAUGUU